UACGUAGGGUGCGAGCGUUGUCCGGAAUUAUUGGGCGUAAAGGGCUCGUAGGCGGUUUGUCGCGUCGGGAGUGAAAACGCCGUGCUUAACGCGGCGCUUGCUUUCGAUACGGGCAGACUAGAGGUAUGCAGGGGAGAACGGAAUUCCUGGUGUAGCGGUGAAAUGCGCAGAUAUCAGGAGGAACACCGGUGGCGAAGGCGGUUCUCUGGGCAUUACCUGACGCUGAGGAGCGAAAGUGUGGGGAGCGAACAGG
rnacentral:rRNA from 1 species